UACGGAGGAUGCAAGCGUUAUCCGGAUUGAUUGGGCGUAAAGCGUCUGUAGGUGGUUACGCUAGUCGGCUGUUAAAGAUCAGGGCUGAACCCUGAGCAAGCAGUCGAAACUGCGUGGCUGGAGUACGGUAGGGGCAGAGGGAAUUUCCGGUGGAGCGGUGAAAUGCGUAGAGAUCGGAAAGAACACCAACGGCGAAAGCACUCUCGCUGGGCCGACACUGACACUGAGAGACGAAAGCUAGGGGAGCGAAUGGG
rnacentral:rRNA from 1 species